GGGGCAACCAGUUGUUGCUACGUUUGCUGGCUUCCUGUGCAGCAAUGGCCUGAGAAACGGUGUAUUCUGUCUCCGCCUUGAAUUGCCUCCAUAUAGAUUUGCACUGGACAGGACUAAUCAACGUUUGUGCUGGUGAAACCUUUUCCCAUGAGCUUGAGGCAAGAGGGUCAGUUGCCACAAUGCUCCUAUCUUUUGUAUUGCUACUGUUUGGAACAUUUAGCAAGGCAAAUGACAAAGUACUGUCUAUCUCACCAGAAUCAUCCUCAUCCAAACGAAGAGCAGCCAUAACAGAGAGUAGCUUCAAGGAAGCAGAACGAGCAGUUUUGGUGAUUGCCCGGAUAUCUUCCUUCC
rnacentral:misc_RNA from 1 species